rnacentral:tRNA from 1 species
AUCCCCGUGGCGCAACGGAUUAGCGCGUUGGACUUCUAAUUCAAAGGUUCUGGUUCGAAUCCCGGCGGGGAUG